UCCCCCGGAGCCGCGGCCGGGAGCACACCCGCGCCCACGGGAGGGAUCCCGGGCUCCCCGUCCCGAGAGCGGGACCGCAGGCGGGGAAGGGGCUCUGGGUCCCCGCGGGGCGGGCAGAGCCGGGGGGCUCAGCUCCCCGCCCGCGGCCCUCGGCCAGCAGCCCCUCUGCCCGAGACCUGAGCUCUUAAUGAGGGAUGGCGGUGGUUUCCUUAACUUUGGGAGCCAACAGAGCAGAACUUUCCCAAGGCAGGACGCUCCGGACGAGUGAAGAUUGGUACAAAGAAAAUUCACUGUAUAAACAUCCUGCCCAAGAAAGGAAGGUUCACCCAUACUCCAUCUACAGGAUUUAGUCCUUUGUAGCCACAUACAGUAUGCGACAGAACAAUUUGGAAAAGAUUCAUCUAUCAAGUUUAACAACUUUCUGGUGUAACUUCAGAGAGGUUUAUUGCUUAUUCAUGUGGAAGACUGACCCUGAACCUUGCAGGCCUUGGAAGAUUUUCUGUCCUCAGGGAAUGUGAGGAAGUGUGGACACAAAGGGAGAGACUUGAAGUAUUUCUCCAGGAAGAAAAGAUGUAAAUAUUUUUGUAUAUUGGCUGACGAUUUUUAAAGAUUUUACUAAAUAGUAUGGUUUUAUUACUUCUAAUAGUAGAAAAACAAGCUGUCCUAGGAUCACAGUUGUUACACAUUUCCUCAGAUUAUCUUUGUUGGAAACCUCAUUUGAGAUAAGACAUUCUUCUUUUCAGCGGUAUAGCUCCUGUUAAGUUAUUAUAGAAUUAAGGAAAUGAUGAUUUUAUUGUUAACAAACAGUAAAAAAUAAUCCAACGUUUUCACCACAUUCAAAAAUGCUGUAGAACUGUUGAUGGAAGUGUGUUAUUCUUGCUUCUAGACAAAGAAUAUCAUAAAAGAUUGUUUAAUAUGAAAAUUCACCUUUCCCAAUUAUAUGUAUUUUCAAACCUACAGUGUAUUCAGAGUAUUUUGUGUAGCUUCUCUGCUCUGAAAAAUCCAUGGAUAAAUUUUCACGGAGAAAGUUAGAUAUAGAUGAUACAGAUAUAGCUAUAUCUAUUUUUCUUUUAGGUGAAAGUGGCAGCUGAACAAAGCCUGUUCUCUCAACGAAGCAGCAAAGCAGCAGUAUAGGGCCAGGGCUGGAAGUCCUUCUGCUGUAAAUCCAUACCAAUCCAACUAAGACCAAGCACUUGUGAAUAUUAAAUUCACACUAGUGUAGCUGAGAGUAGAAAUGGCCUUUGUUUUUGAAACCCUUGGAGUCUGAAGUGAAAAAAAAAAAAAGGAGCAGGGUUUAACCUUUAAACCUUUCACUGACCUUUAAGCAGUACUUUGGAUUAUAUCUGCCCUUGUUAAUCUGAAGCCACUUGCAAACAUAACUGGCAUUCCUGUUUUUUAAGUAUACUCUACGUACAUUAUAGAAUGGGUUAGCAAUUGAAAAGUUUGGCUCCUGUUCAUUGUGUCUUUAUCAGAUUUAAAGUGAUGCUUAUCUUUGUAAACAAAAUUUCAUAGUAAGCAGCAACACGAGAAAUGCUUUGUGUCAAAAUACAUCAUGUAAAUGAUGGCCAGGCUUAGAUCUGUACUCUUGAAAGGGCAAAUCCAUGUGUUGAUCAAGACAAUAAAUUUUGUAGAAUUCCUGUAUUAAUGUAGAACUCAACAAGGACCCAUUUUGUUGGCACUUCUUUCUAUCACAGGUGAGUAGAAACUUCUGCAGCAUCUGGCCAGACCAUUAUUUUUCCUUCUUUGGCUUUUCUUUUUUUCAUUCCCACUAUUCACAUCCCUGCUUUGCAUGCACUUUUUUCUCACAUACCUUCCUCAUACAUAUCUUCAUUUUGGUCUAUUAAAUCCAAACUACAGGUACAGAUGACUUUAAAUGAACCAUGAAUUUAUCUUGGACGAGAUCUCACUGUUCUCAUAAUCUAAACAGAGUUUAAUUAACACUAGAAACAUCUACUUCUUGAUAUAAAUAAAAUAGUCUACAACUGGUGAUUGUAAUUUCCCCUUUUCAUUCACACAAUGAUUGCAAAAUGUCUUGCCAUUCACAUGGAAAUUUUCUUCUAAGUACGUCUGUCUUUAGUGGAACAAUGUCAUGGGCAGAGUACAAAUUUAUAGAGGAUGUAUAUGUUUAAGAAACAGCAGCUAUUUCAUAUUCUGUGUCUAUCAUUUGAAUCAAGAAUUUUCCUGCUGGAUUGUUACAGUAAUACAGAGGAACUGAUGCACUGCCCCUUACAUUCAAGCUACUUUUCAAGUGCAGAAAUACUGGCCUUAGAAAUUGACAAAAUUACAGACAAGUUAUUUUACCUUGAAGUAUGAAAUGCUGGAAAUUGCUGAGACAACUUAGCACAGUAGAGACAGUCAGGCUGAAUCAGUGUGAGGAACACCACUGUAGGUUUAGAAGGAUAAACACAUGGGAUUUGUUUUCCUGAAAAUUUUACCAGGACUUGACAUUGUAAAGAUAUUGAGUGUCAUAGGCUUUUAAAGAAAUGAAGAGUUGAUAUGCUGAGAGCAAACACUGAAAGGUCUUGUGAUGUAGCUGGUGAAAAGCACCUGUUUUUUAUGGUGGAUAUUUAUUUGAAUAUGAAAAGUACUAUACAUUUCUUUUAUCAUCUCCUCAUCUCUUGCUGUUGCAUGUUGGAGAAUUACUAAAUCUCUGGAGAGGGAUCAGAUCUGUAAAAGUUGUCAGUUGUUAAGACAAGGUAUUCAGUGAAUAAAUGAAUUAUUGUACUGAAGUCCUUUAUUGAAUACUCCUGUGUCACUGCUUUAGUUAAAUAUCAAGAACACAGGCAUUUAACAAUAUUACUUUAAAUUCAAAAUGCCUUGAAAGUACUGAGAUUCAAUUUGCAAAUGUAACCAAGAAUAAAACAUGUGCCUUGGAUUACAUGUCACUUCUUGGGAUGUUUUGACAUAACGCAUUUAGAAAAUACUUUCCUGUGACAGAAAUGAGUAAAAUAAAUUUCAGUUAUCUGUGACUUCUAACAGUCCAGUUCUUGGUUAGUUUGUUCUCUGCAUCACAGCAAGCUGACAUGCUCACUUGUGCAUCAGUGUGGAGGCCAACUGCUUAAGGCUAAAGUGCUAUUGUGCUCCUUGUGUGAAUAAUCCUGUUAGCAGCAAGGGAAUACAGGCAUGGAAAAAGCAAAAAAUGGUCACAAGUGAGAAAUAACCUGACUUCCUUCUCUUUUCUAGAGAUGAUCUGUGCAGUGUUUUUAGACAGAUCUCUUGUAUGAUGGUACCAACAUCUUCAAAGACUCCAUCUUUUUAUCUCCUCUAAGGGGUACCAAAAUCACUACAGCUCUUCUAUGAAGAGCUUAGAAAAUACUUAGAAAAGUAGAUAAGCAAAUCCAUUCAAUAAUCUGUCCUCUUCAUUUCCAAAAUACUGGUACCAAGAUAGAAAAGACAAGGAUGUACAGGGAGGUACUUUUGUCUGUGUCUUUCAUGAAAACACGCUUACUCUAGAAAUUCAGUAUAUAAGGACUACACCAUUAUUCCCAAAGAGCAAGCAUGUCAUAAUGGAAAAUAUACACCAGAAACUUAGUAUUAAAUCUGCUUUUAUUUAAUAUAGUUAAAUUAGCUACAGCUUCUCAGUAUAAAAUUUUAGUAUUAUGUGCAGUAUUACAUAAAAAAAUUAAUCCAAGUGGAGAAUUCUUACUAUAGAGUUAUGCUCAAAUUUCCCACUCAUAUUUGUGGGACUUGCAGAAAUCCAAGAAUGGUGGUUUUGGGUUUACUAACAAAAUGUCACAAUUAAACAUAUCCAGGAGGUCAGGUAACACUGCCUGUAACCUUAUAGUAUGCUAUGUUAAUAGUAACAUUUUCAGAACAGCAUGAUUAGUUCACUGAUCAUAUCACCUGCCCACUCAUCUAGGCCAGGCAAAUACUAAAAUCAAAAAAAGAUUGUUACUUUUUGCAGUGUACAUGUUCUUAGCACAUGAUGAGAGGAUUGUGAAGACAGUGAUGGAACAUACAUCAAAAACCUGUUGCUUCAUGCUCUGUAACACAUUUGCUGUACCAGGAAUGAAACAGAGAGAAGGAAUUUGGUUGCUGGAAUUAUGAAACCCAGAACCUGGUUCUAUAACCUGCUGAUGAUAUUGACUUCUGUUGUCAUUUGAAUGUGGUUACAUAUUCACUGUCUUAAUUAAUAGUUAUGGAUGUUGCAUGACAUGGUGUUAACACCCUAUCUGAAAAUAAAAUAAGUACUGACACGUCAA